GCCAGUCUCAUACUGAGCCAGACAACAGAGAGUGGCCGUGAGACUUCGUUCUUGUGGACAGAGGACAAGAGAAAAGCAAGGAGCCUGGGGCUGUUUUCAUCCCCAGAAUAUUUUAUCUUGUUCAACUAUUCUGAAGGCUGAACAGCAGGUGAUAAAUAACAACUUCAGUCGUGAUUAAUACCAUGAAUCCUUCAACCUGACUAAUGCAAAAGAACUUGAGACCUACAGAACAAGUGGGUGAUAAUUGUUGUGAGAACUGUUGAAGCUCUGCUCAGCUUGUGAGAGAAGAAAUCCACAGGAAAUGAGGCGUUAGCCAGCAGUCCAGCUGAUCCUCCAAGGCUUCAUUAAGCCCAUCUCAGCGACAUUCGCCUCCGUUUGACUACUAGUGCUAGGUUUUCUCACUCCCAACACUUAAGUUUUAAGUAUCUUGAGAAAAGAAAGGACUAACUCACCUUUGCAUACAUUUAAAUAUUUAUUAAAUGAAUGACUGAAUAAUAAAUGAGGAAAUAUAUUUUUUGCCUAAGUAGUAGGCCUUCUAA